rnacentral:rRNA from 1 species
UGCAGUCGAACGGGUGUAGCAAUACACCAGUGGCAGACGGGUGAGUAACACGUGGGAACCUUCCUCGUUGUACGGGACAACUCAGGGAAACUUGAGCUAAUACCGUAUACGUCCGAGAGGAGAAAGAUUUAUCGCAAUGAGACGGGCCCGCGUCGGAUUAGCUAGUUGGUAGGGUAACGGCCUACCAAGGCGACGAUCCGUAACUGGUCUGAGAGGACGACCAGUCACACCGGAACUGAGACACGGUCCGGACUCCUACGGGAGGCAGCAGUGGGGAAUAUUGGACAAUGGGCGAAAGCCUGAUCCAGCGACGCCGCGUGGGUGAAGGAGGCCUGCGGGUUGUAAAGCCCUUUCAGUGGGGAAGAAAAGCCUCGAGCUAAUACCUCGGGGUCUUGACGUAACCCAUAGAAGAAGCACCGGCUAACUCUGUGCCAGCAGCCGCGGUAAUACAGAGGGUGCGAGCGUUAAUCGGAAUUACUGGGCGUAAGGCGCGCGUAGGCGGCUUUGCAAGUCGGGUGUGAAAUCCCCAGGCUUAACCUGGGAACUGCAUUCGAGACUGCAUUGCUAGAGUAUGGGAGAGGGAAGUGGAAUUUCCGGUGUAGCGGUGAAAUGCGUAGAUAUCGGAAGGAACAUCAGUGGCGAAAGCGACUUCCUGGACCAAUACUGACGCUCAUGUGCGAAAGCGUGGGGAGCAAACAGGAUUAGAUACCCUGGUAGUCCACGCCAUAAACGAUGAGAACUGGAUGUCGGGAGGGUCUGCCUCUCGGUGUCGUAGCUAACGCGUUAAGUUCUCCGCCUGGGGAGUACGGCCGCGAGGUUGAAACUCAAAUGAAUUGACGGGG